rnacentral:rRNA from 1 species
UACCAGCACCCCGAGUGGUCGGGACGAUUAUUGGGCCUAAAGCAUCCGUAGCCGGUUUUACAAGUCCUCCGUUAAAUCCAACUGCUUAACAGAUGGGCUGCGGAGGAUACUAUAAGACUAGGAGGCAGGAGAGGCAAGCGGUACUCAGUGGGUAGGGGUAAAAUCCGUUGAUCCAUUGAAGACCACCAGUGGCGAAGGCGGCUUGCCAGAAUGCGCUCGACGGUAAGGGAUGAAAGCUGGGGGAGCAAACCGG